rnacentral:tRNA from 1 species
CCUCUGGUGGUCCAGUGGCUAAGACUCGGUGCUCUCAAUGCAGGAGGCCCAGGUUCAAUCCCUGGUCAGGGAA